AGCAUUCCCACUCCUGGGCAUGUAUCCAGAAGGAACCCUGCUUCAAAGAACACCUGCACCCCAAUGUUCACAGCAGCACUAUUUACAAUAGCCAAGACAUGGAAACAGCCUAAAUGUCCAUCAACAGAUGACUGGAUAAAGAAGUUGUCUAUUUAUACAAUGGAAUACUGCUCAGCCAU